rnacentral:rRNA from 1 species
GAAUUCAUUAGUGAUUCAGGCAUAACACAUGCAAGUCGAGCGGGGUUUUCGGACCUAGCGGCGGACGGGUGAGUAAUGCGUAGGAAGCUGCCCGAUAGAGGGGGAUACCAGUUGGAAACGACUGUUAAUACCGCAUAAUGUCUACGGACCAAAGUGUGGGACCUUCGGGCCACAUGCUAUCGGAUGCGCCUACGUGGGAUUAGCUAGUUGGUGAGGUAAUGGCUCACCAAGGCGACGAUCUCUAGCUGGUUUGAGAGGAUGAUCAGCCACACUGGAACUGAGACACGGUCCAGACCCCUACGGGAGGCAGCAGUGGGGAAUAUUGGACAAUGGGCGCAAGCCUGAUCCAGCCAUGCCGCGUGUGUGAAGAAGGCCUUCGGGUUGUAAAGAAAGUUCAGCGAGGAGGAAGGGUGAUGUGUUAAUAGCACAUCAUUUGACG